GACGAACGCUGGCGGCGUGCUUAACACAUGCAAGUCGAACGAAGUGGCGAACGGGUGAGUAAUACGUGAGUAACCUGCCCUCCUUUUUGGGAUAAGCCUUGGAAACGGGGUCUAAUACCGAAUAAAGGGGGAUGGGCUCGCGGCCUAUCAGCUUGUUGGGGGGGUGAUGGCUUACCAAGGCGGUGACGGGUAGCCGGCCUGGAAGGGUGACCGGCCACAUUGGGAAUGAGGUACGGCCCUGACACCUACGGGAGGAGGCAGUGGGGGAUAUUGAACAAAGGGCGAAAGCCUGAAGCGGCGACGCCGCGUGGGGGAUGACGGCUUUCGGGUUGUAGACCUCUUUCGCUAUCGAAAGGGUAGGUAGAGAAGAAGCGCCGGCUAACUACGUGCCAGCAGCCGCGGUAAUUC
rnacentral:rRNA from 1 species